UUGGGGAAUCUUAGACAAUGGGGGCAACCCUGAUCUAGCCAUGCCGCGUGAUCGAUGAAGGCCUUAGGGUUGUAAAGAUCUUUCAGCUGGGAAGAUAAUGACGGUACCAGCAGAAGAAGCCCCGGCUAACUCCGUGCCAGCAGCCGCGGUAAUACGGAGGGGGCUAGCGUUGUUCGGAAUUACUGGGCGUAAAGCGCACGUAGGCGGAUUGGAAAGUUGGGGGUGAAAUCCCGGGGCUCAACCCCGGAACUGCCUUCAAAACUCCCAGUCUUGAGGUCGAGAGAGGUGAGUGGAAUUCCGAGUGUAGAGGUGAAAUUCGUAGAUAUUCGGAGGAACACCAGUGGCGAAGGCGGCUCACUGGCUCGAUACUGACGCUGAGGUGCGAAAGCGUGGGGAGCAAACAGGAUUAGAUACCCUAGUAGUCC
rnacentral:rRNA from 1 species